CGGACGGGUGGAGUAACGCGUAGGGAUCUAUCCUUGGGUGGGGGACAACCGUGGGAAACUACGGCUAAUACCGCAUGAUGACUGAGGUUCAAAGCUCGUGAGAGCGCCUGGGGAGGAGCCUGCGUACGAUUAGCUAGUUGGUGGGGUAAAGGCCUACCAAGGCGACGAUCGUUAGCUGGUCUGAGAGGAUGAUCAGCCACAUUGGGACUGAGACACGGCCCAA
rnacentral:rRNA from 1 species